AAAAAUACUUUAUAUAGUUGUAUCUUACUAGGAUUAAAGAAAUAUUUUGAGCAUACGUUAUAUAUUUUGUUCUAUGAAGAUUUUACCGGAAAAAAAUUCGAAAAAACCCGAAUAACCCGAAAACCCGAAAAAACCCGAGAAAAACCGACAUUAAAAAACCCGAAUUUAUUGGUUUGGUUUGGCCGUUAAAUUUAAUAACCCGACACAAUUGGUUUGGUUUGGUAAUUGUAAAAUCCGAACC
rnacentral:lncRNA from 1 species